GUGAAUUUUGGCGCUUGUAUAAUAAAUGAACUACAUUUGUUUAUACUGGAUUAAGCAUACAGUUUCGUAAACUGUAAUUUUGUUUGUUAUGUUCCAAAACUCCCUCCAUUUUAUGCCAAUAGCAGUUAUUUUUGAAGUCUUAGAAAAUAAAUAUAUCAACUAUUGGAUCUAAGAGAUUGUCAGGUAGAUAGGCUCUCUGCAAGGUUUUGGAUAUCUUACCUACAAUAUUAUAUGAGUAUCUUUUUUUCUGACUCAAAUAGGAUUCCAUCAACAUUGCUCUGAUGUCCAAAAGAUUUUAGGUCUAAAUUUCGUGAUAUGAAACUUAAGUUAUAUAUAUUUGAAAAUGUAUACAUUGGUCAGUCCAAAAUUGCUUUUUAAUUCUGGCAUGGAAGUUGCUGGAUACUUUUUAAUGCAUCAUCAGUGUGAUCCUUUUUGCUGACAUGUUCUUUUGAUCGCUGUAUCACGGCAUUGCUGAAUGCAUCAUUAGUUACAGGUCCGAGUGCCAAGCUGAACCUGUUUUUGUACGAUUAAGUUUGAUGCUUGACCUGCUGGCAUCAUUUAGACACAUUAAAUGAAUUUAUGAACAGCACAAACGUUGAGCAUCCUUGAACCUCUAAGCAAGCAAAUUGCAUUAAUGAAGGGCUACUUUCGUAACUUUCAUGCAAGAUUUACUAAACGGAUUUCAUGCUUUUCUUUUCAUUACUUGAUGAUGGUACAGUAUCCUUUUUACAACUACAACCCACUACACAUGCUCUGCUUAGCCUCCAAAGAGAGGGAAAGACACACACACACACACACACACACACACACACACACUGCCUCUCAGUGACAAAGGGUUAGGAGCUGCCUUGUCUGCCACCUGAUAUUAAUGAGUGCAAUUUGGAUGUGUGCAUCAUGGGAAAGCACCGGGUAUAAGAGGAGUUCCUUUUAUGGCUCAGCACAAGCAAACAGCCUCGGGGCCGCCGGGCUUGCCUAUGAUUGUGACAUUAGAAGGCGGUCAGGCUAGUGUCUCAUUAGCCAUAGUGCGGAGACAGCUGAGGGGCCUGGAGGAGAAGAAGAGACAGCUUUGUGUGUGUGGAUGCUCACAGACCGGAUCGGCGGAGCCCCAGCCAGCCAUCGCCAGCGCCACAGAUGUGGCUGUGACAGGGGGACCCCCAGGGCAGGACCCAUGAGGAGUCAUAGAAGAUGCUCGCAGCCUGGGCGCCUCUGCUCCUCUUAGCCAUGUGGGUGAGAUGUUCCUCCGCUGGGCCGCUCUCCUUCAGAAUAGGUGAGUAGUCUGAUCUCUGACCCUGCAUGGCUGGAGGGCACAACUCACCUCUCCUCACUCCCUAUUCAAAAGACGACAUCACAAGAACUCCUCUAUGUGUAAUUCUAGGCCUGGCUGAGACUUGCUUUGACAGCUGAUUGCUUCUUCAUUGCAUCUCAGCAGCACUUUGACCAGAGGUCGGUAUCACUCCAAUUGUACUGUAACAAGAAGAGGCGGUAUUUUCUGAAUGUUAUAUUCUGUCUGUUUCUGCCUGUCUGUUAUUUCUAAUGCAGCAGAAAGGUGCAGAGUACUUUCUUGUGUGCAAUCGAGUACCUUAACCAAACGGCUAGAUAAUCAAAUUUUCUGCUACCAUUUCCCGAGCCGCAGUGAAAAAAAGAGUGUCAAAAUGAGUCAUGAUAUUAUACUUUGCCGUAAUUGAGUGUUAGCUGGGAAAACCAGUUACCAGAGUGCUUUGCGUUCUUAUUUAGACACAUUUUAGUGUAUGGUGUUUACAGGCCCAUACUUGUUUUCACACUGAGAUGAGAGUGAGGAGAGAGGGAGGACAGGGGUCCUAUUCUCAUUACGUUAAUUUGCCAAUCCGUAGCCGGCUAUCCGCCAGGCGUAGAGCUUGGUCUGGGGCAGCAGUGACCUAGACAUCUCUCUCUUACAGCAGCAGAAGCCACCUCAACAUGGGCUGAUUUCUAACAGCAAUCACUCUGACAGCAGGAGAUGGACAGACAGACGGUGCUGCUGUUGGUAGAGUCCAAGUAGAGAGUUUCAAGAGAUGGGGCUCUGUAGUUUGGCUCUGCCGACCGUGUUUAUGAGAGAGUGUAUUAUUGACAUGGCAGGGUACGGGAGCUGUGAUCGAAAUCAUAGGCGUUGAGGCUAACAGCAGCAUAACAGCAGUCUAUAUUUAUUUCUACAGUAGCAUAUCUUUAAAAACAUCAUGUAUAUUGGGUAGCAAGCCGUGCUGGGAUCAGAGAAAGGUCUGACACGGUGAAUGUGCCUUGCCGAUCAAUUAUUAACGUGCCCAAUAUGCUUGCAGCGGAACUUCUCAGUUUGCUUCAGCCAUCUCCAUGUGAUCGUGACAGGGAACAACAAACACACAGCUCCCCAGCUAGCACAUUUGGUUCCUUGGAAGUUGCGGAAACGUACGUUUUUGAUUUCCCAUUGGUUCUGGGAACGAAGUGAAAACUUUCCUGACCAGUAAGACGGAACGUUUUUAAACGUUCUGAGAACGGAAAGUGUAGAUUAUUUGGAGGCUUAAAACGUUUACUGAAUCUUUGAAGACAGUUGAAGUCGGAAGUUUACAUACACAUUAGCCAAAUACAUUUAAACUCAGUUUUUCACAAUUCCUGACAUUUAAUCCUAGUAAAAAUUCCCACAUUCCCAGUGGGUCAGACGUUUACAUACACUCAAUUAGUAUUUGGUAGAAUUGCCUUUAAAUUGUUUAACUUGUGUCAAAUGUUUCGGUUAGCCUUCCACAAGCUUCCCACAAUAAGUUGGUCUUUAAAAUGGUGUAUAAUACUUAUAUGUUUAAGGAAUUUUAAUUAUGAGAUUUCUGUUGUUUGAAUUUGGCGCCUAGCACUUUCACUGGCCGGUUGUCAUAUCGAUCCCGUUAGCGGGAUUUCAGCCGUAAGAAGUUUUAAACAGCUUGGAAAAUGUCAUGGCUUUAGAAGCUUCUGAUAGGAUAAUUGACAUCAUUUGAGUCAAUUGGAGGUGUACCUGUGGAUGUAUUUCAAGACCUACCUUCAAACUCAGUGCCUCUUUGCUUGACAUCAUGGAAAAAUCAAAAGAAAUCAGCCAAGAACUCAGAAGAAAAUGUAGACCUCCACAAGUCUGCUUCAUCCUUGGGAGCAAUUUCCAAACGCCUGAGUGUACCACGUUUAUCUGUACAAACAAU
rnacentral:lncRNA from 13 species